GGGGAAUAUUGGACAAUGGGCGCAAGCCUGAUCCAGCCAUACCGCGUGGGUGAAGAAGGCCUUCGGGUUGUAAAGCCCUUUUGUUGGGAAAGAAAUCCUGUCGGUUAAUAACCGGUGGGGAUGACGGUACCCAAAGAAUAAGCACCGGCUAACUUCGUGCCAGCAGCCGCGGUAAUACGAAGGGUGCAAGCGUUACUCGGAAUUACUGGGCGUAAAGCGUGCGUAGGUGGUGGUUUAAGUCUGCUGUGAAAGCCCUGGGCUCAACCUGGGAAUUGCAGUGGAUACUGGAUCACUAGAGUGUGGUAGAGGGAUGCGGAAUUUCUGGUGUAGCAGUGAAAUGCGUAGAGAUCAGAAGGAACAUCCGUGGCGAAGGCGGCAUCCUGGGCCAACACUGACACUGAGGCACGAAAGCGUGGGGAGCAAACA
rnacentral:rRNA from 1 species